ACUCAUGACCUCAGGCUUGCCAGGCAAGUGCUCAUGCCACUGAGCUACAUCCCUGGCCCAGUGAAGUGAAUUUUGACCAGUUGUUUGAGAUGGAGUCUGCCAUAUUUCCCAACUGCAAAAUCAACAGUUUUUCUUCUGUAAUUAAUAAGCAGCCCAUGGGGAGACUCUACAAGGUCCUGUGCAAUAUGCCUGGUGCUCCUGUGAGGACAGAUUUGGACACCGGUGUGAGCACAGAGAGGGACCAUGUCAAGACCACAGGCAUCUACCAGCCAAGGAGAGAGGCCUUAGAAAUCAGUGCUGAAGUCUUGACCUCAGACUGCCGGUCUCCAAAUCUGUGACAAACACCCCAGAGACCCAGGAGUUUACAGUGGAAGGAGGUUUAUGUUGGCCAAUGGUUCUGGAGGCUGGGAAGUCCAAGAGCAUGAGAAUGACAUCUUCUUGGCUGUAGCAAGAGCCUCAUGCCUCUUUAACUGAUGGCAGGAAACAGAAGGGCAAGCGGGCACACGCGGAAGAGAGGUCACAAGGAAUCGAUCUCAGGACCUUGCACUUGCUGGGCAGGUGCUGUGCCACUGAACUAUAUUCCCAGCCCUGAGUCACAGUAAAAUUAAAGCUGAAAAACUUGACUUCCCCAUGUCAGCAGGAUGAAAUGGCAACUUCUGUCUCUUCUACAUGGGAGUGAAUUUGAACAGUGGGGACCUCUAAUCAAGGGAAGAGGACAGACAGGGCACUGUGGGCUCAAAAUAACAAGCCCAUUGGUCUGUCUCUGGGAGACUAUGGCCCAAGAAUUUUAUCCCGAAUAAUAAAUAUCUGCAGUAUUUCAUGCCCAAGGCUAUGAAAUAAAAUUGCAAAAUUGCAUGCCAGCAACUGGUAGUAGUGAUGUGUCCACGUUGUUGCUAAAGCCAGAAACCUGAGAGCCGUGUGAAGUUUGAUUUCUGUGUCUGUGGUUAUUGUGCUGAACUUAAUAAUGAUGACAGUUAUUUCACUACUACUAACAUUC